CUAACUUUUUGUACUCUCUCGUCUUCUAACCAAACUGAAACGAACAGCUUCUCCUCAAACUACCAAAGCAAAAAAAAACCGUCUCCUCUAUCAUUCUCUUUGGGUCGACGGCUUCUGAAGCAGGUUUCUUCGUCCUUUGUGAUUCUUUUUAAGUUCCUUUAUUUCUUUUGAUGCUUUUCAAUUUAGUUUAAAGCUUUAUACUUAAUAUUUUCCUUUUCAAGUUCCUUGCUUCUGUUUCUCUUUUAAAGUUUAAUAAGAUGUGGUUAAUGGGUGCCUGUAUAUAUGCUGGUUUUCGUUAGGGGAAAGUGGGUGCUCUGUUUUUAUUAUUCUCUUAUUUGAGUAAUUUUUAUUUCUGGGUUUGCAUGGUGAUGGAGGGGAAAAAACGAUUUUUUUUUACUUUGUGUUUGUAUUCCUUUGGUAGCAAGUAGCAACGAGUAUUUUGCUGAAGCUGGUAUAUUUCUGCAAACUUCAGGAAAAAUUAAAUAGCGGUGCUGAAAUAUCCUAAUUCUGCAAAUCACGUAGUGUAAAAUUGGGAAUUUUUGGCGAAUAGCCACCUUCUAGAGUGCUGAUCGUCGAAUAGCCAGCGUUUGCAAAGUUUUAGAAGCAUUGUCACAAUCGCUCAAACUUCAGAAAAAAUUCAUGGAGUUCCGUUCAAAACCACAUGGAAAAAAUCCUGGACUUUUGAACUCAAGUGCAGGAAAAACAGGAGAAAAAAAAAUCCUGGAGGUCCACUCCAGAACAAAUCAUGUUUUUCCUGGAGUUUAGUUCAAAAGUCCGACAUUUUUUCCUGGAAUGCAGUUCAAAAUCCCAGGGAAAAGUGACUAUUCGUUGACUGCCACUGGCCACUGCCAAAAAUAAAAACCCGGCCUAUAUUUCAUUGUACAAUUGCCUAUCAAAAAGGCCUGACCUGACCCUCUAAUUGUCCAACCCCUUUCCACUCGCAACUUAAGUCGGAGCUAGCAGCCUAAAGACCCUGAUUUUUUUUAUCUGAGAUACACUAUAAGUUAUUGUUGUUUAAUUGAGUGGACAUCUUGGUCUGAAGUCUGUGUUAUAAAAGGUAUUUUUGAACUAUUCUAGUUUAUUGUAAAUGUUGGAUUUCUUUAUACCUCGUUGGAUUUGCUGUGGGUGAACUAUAAUAAUUAGCUCUCCUUGAUACCUUAUCAGUGAUCAUGUAUUUUAUCUGUUCUUUUAGUUUUUUUCUGAAAUUUUUACCAGCAAAGCUUCCUCAUCUCCAAAGAUACCGAAACAUUAAGGAAUAUCCACUUUUUUCCCCUAUAUGGUCCACUAUAAGUUAUAGAAGCUUGUCUGAAUGGUCAUCUUGGUCUGGACCCUGAGUUUAUAAAAAGCUACCUUCGAAUGUUCUUAGUAAUUUUGGUACUUAGACCUCUUGGAUGGUUAUGAAUUUUGUAGUGGAUGAAGUAAUAAUUAGCUCCUCGACGUGCUAUUGAUAUCAUUCUUCUAAGUCGAUGGAUUGUUGACGAAACAACCAUGUUUAAUAUAUUCACUAAUGACACUAAGAUUUGUCAGGCAUUUCACUCACUUUUGACUCUGAUUCAACAUUCAAGUGUACCAAAAGUACUUGGGACUGUCAAAUCCCUGCAUGUAGAAGAUUAUUAAUUUACUAUUACAAAUAAAGCAUUCGCAUCCACCUUCGUGCCCAUUGAAUUAAUUUGCAAUGUCUUUAUUUUUUAAAAAGUCAUCAUACGUGGAAUUAUUUGCUAAAAAGGCAUAUCGUAUAAGAUCAAAAUUAGAAUACUAGGUGACUUUCUACAAAUUUUCACAAAAUGAUAUAUUUUCUUAGUUGAUUCAGGUCUCCGAGCAUGGUAUAUUGCGGUAAUUGUGCAGAGAACAUAAGUCGACCCGACUAUGUGGAUGGCAAAAUGUGAGAGCUUUGUUCUUUCUUCUACACUAUAAUACUCUCGUUCAUUUUAUUUUAUAUAUGUUGUUCAUUAGUUAUAAGAUGCUUCAUUUGGUUAUAUAUGUUUCAUUCUAUGAUCUUUCUUUUUCGUUACAUUAUAGAUGUUGUCCCUUAUGUGGAAGAGUUCUUGAUGAAGAUAAUUUUUCAUGUGAGCCCACGUUUGUUAAGAAUGCUGCCGGACUGGU
rnacentral:lncRNA from 1 species